GCUUGACACUAAAUAUAUUUAGCUGGUUUGGCUUGAGUUUAGUUUUAUGUAGUAAGUGUUUCGUUGGGGUGACGGGAAGAUAAGAGAAACUCUUUUUAAUUUACAACACAAAUGAGUGAAUAAUUGAUCCAUACAUAAUGAUUAUAAGACCAAGU
rnacentral:rRNA from 1 species